CCCAAUCACCCGUGUCUCACCCCACUCCCACCCUAGUGGCCCAGCCGCCAAACGAACCCUAGCCCUCUUUCUCCUUCCCCUCGAUCCCCACGAGCCGCCGCACCCCUCCCUCGAUCCCCAGUUCCCCAUGAUCCUCUCCUAGCCCGCAGCCGCCGGUCUUGUCUCUCCACUCUACCAUGUCGUCGUCGAUCCCACCGCCGGCCUUCUCCUCUGCUUGCUUCCUCCGGUUCCAUGUCGCCGUCGAUCCAGAGCGGCGGCGGGGUCUGCGCGGUGCGGGUGGGGAUGUAGGGGAGGGGUGGGAUGCAGACGAUGGCGAGGAAGGCAAGCAACAUCGGGGAAUGAGCAGGUGAGCGAUCCUUGCGUGGGGAAGGGGCAGGGUGGGGCCUCACGCACCUGCCGGCGGCCGGCGGGAGCUUGAGCUCGAGACGAUGGAGGUGCUAAGGCGGGGCAGGAGAGGACGGCUCGCCGACGAGCUCGAGUUGGAGGCGGUGAGAUCUUUUCCUUCAUGGCUUCCCACCCGCCGAGCUCGUUGGUCCUCCUCCCUCCCCCGUGCGGCCGGCCUCGUCCUUCGUCCCUCGACCGUGCUGUGACAUUGCUUCCUCAAUUGGUCGCCGCCUCGUCUCGCCUGAACACGAUGCCGUCCGGGGCAGCGCCGGCACCGAGGCACCACCUCUGCCUCCACCCCCACGGGGCAAAGAGCUCGAGGUGUUUGGGGGUUUCUUGUCCCUGAUGUCAUGUUGUGAUUGGUGCAGCCGCUGGAUGAGAAAGCAUAGGAUUCAGGAAAGCAACUGCAAGAGACGGAGAAGACGUCCCCAUGGCUUCUACGAGGACCAGAAGCGUAUGCCUAUUAUUAGAGCUUGGAUAAGGGUAGGUGAUGCAAGGGGUCUCGUCCUAAAAUCAUCUUUGUUGGUUUGGAUGAUUUUGCAAGUUUCUUUCAGCAGCCUGGGGUUGUUAAGAAGAGGGUCGGGAUUGCCCUGGGCAGAUGCUUAAAUUCCUGGAUGUAAACGCACACUUGCCUCCUACACAGGCCAAAAUACUAUUGGAGAUAAGGAUACUUGUUUUGCAUAUUUGCAUCUCGAAGAAGCUUGCCCACUAUUCUUGCUUGUGGAAAAACUGGUUCUCGUUCAGUUAUGCUUGUCAGUUUGAUAGAAGAUGGACACCCCUCUUCAAGUUGGUUUAUGGGCUUGCGGAGUGUGAGAAACCCCUGGUAUGCCUCCAUCCUUCGUCCCUUGCUCCGUGGCCUGGAUGUCGAGGGAGGGCGAGAGGUGGUGAUAUGCAGGGGUGAGGGAGAUGGAGGCGGUGACCUGCAGCUCCUGUUGAAGGGGCGGAGAAGAGGGGGUGCGGAGAUGAGAGGCUAUUGUUGUUUAUUCCUUCAUGCAGUAUUUCUGAGUUGGUUCACUCUGAAAAAAGGCAAUGGAACACUAAAUAACCUGGCAACGGAUACCCUGUGGUCUACCAUUAUAAUUAUGUGUGCAUUUUGGAUCUAUUGGAUGUCUGAAUGUAAUGCUAAUCGACAUUUACUGAUGCAAAGAUUUUGCAGGGAUGUAGAUAUAUAUGGUGAUGUUUCACUACGAUCUAAGUGUUUCAGUUCAUAUUUAGCAGGAUCACAUUUUGACCAAUGACUCUUUGCUGCCAUGGUUGAUACCGCUC